rnacentral:piRNA from 1 species
UCAGGGUCUGAUGUGGCUUUGUUUGCAGC